rnacentral:lncRNA from 1 species
GAUUAUUUUUUUCAAAGUUUGUGUGAGAGAGGAGUAUUCUGUAUGUCGUGUUUAUGAAGUUGAAAAAGAGAAGAAAAUGAGUGUGGGGCAAUCUAUGCGGAAAAGAAAGAAGAGGAAAAAAAAUAAAAAAAUGAAAAAAAGAAAGAAAGAAAGGAGCACAUGGGAGGGAAAAAGAUAAAGAGAAAAAAAAAUUUAAAAUAAGGUCAAAUGUCUCUUUUCCAUUGGUCCAAAAUUUAAUCAAUUUUAAAAUAGGAAAAUGACAAGUGACUUAUGGUGAUUA